rnacentral:lncRNA from 1 species
UCUAGAGCUCUUUUUGACCUCUUUUAUGCAGCUCACACCUCUCGGGACGACACUCAGGAUCAUGGAUUAAUCUUCCUUCACCCUUAAUUCCAUUGGUUCUACUUUUUCAUCAAUGAUCGAGGUUACUUCUUUGAACAUUUCAUGGUGGUGAAACAUGUUACUCCUGAGGCUCACUUUACCUUCUGUUUGUCUCCGGCCCCGGUGGGAUGCACUCAUUCUUGCAAAAGUGAUUUUUUGAAGUAUUGGUCUAGAGCUCAUUUCC